rnacentral:lncRNA from 1 species
GAAGUAACUACAAGAGACCAAAGGGGCUGGGCUUCCCUUGUUAUCCUUGUUCGCCUUGAACUUCCAGGGCCAGGAUGCAGGGAAGACGGAAAGCACUAGGAGGCGCUCUUCUCCCAGGCUGGGGCAGCUCGUGGUCGCGCUUUUCCUACACAAGUGUCCUCUCAUUCUCUUAUCUACCAGUUGACAAGGCUAUAAAGUAAUGCGGAUUGCCUGCUUGGUAUUGAAAACAGGAGGCACUGGAAUUGGAAUUUGAUUCGAGUUAUUUUUAUGUUUUUACUAGCAUCCCGUUCUUGUGCAAACUAUUCAGCUCCCCUCAACCUUAGAAGCUCUCAUUAUCUUGGUAGGUAAUACCCCAUCAGGAAUCUCAGGGAGACUUGGUGUCUACAAUAGAAGAAACACAGCAGUCACUCAGAGGUAUCCCUCCAGCUUCUCUUGGUAACUUAUCUCUUUCUCAUCUUCCACCUUACUCUGGAAAUACUGGUCAUCAGAUAGGUUCCAGAAUGUUUCCAGAAGAAUCUAGGUGUGCCAUUUAUCUGUGAACGACAUGCCACAGCCCGACUCCCCGCUGCUUUGAAGGCCUCGAUUGUGAUGUCCGGGUAAAACCAGUUUCUGAUCCAAUAGACACUAGGAAAUGCUGGGCAAAUGAGUGCACAGGUUCUGAGGGCACCACUUAGGGAAGUAUCCAUUUAUCUUCAUAGAAAACACUGUCAUCAUCAGCAUGAGCAAAACUGAUUUCAUAGGCAGGAGGUGGAGUACUAGGCUCCAGUUUGGGGGCCACUCUCAUGCUUUGCAGAUCAGGAGCAGUGGCCACAACUCGUGGACCCCUAAGUCGAAGAAUUCUUCCAGGGUUUCCUCUGGCAGUCAUUGUCCCCUCUGAGCCCACUCGCCUUUUCAGACUGCCUGUGCUGGGACUGUCUGGUUGGCUAGGCUGUGCCCCCUCAACUCCUGGGGAUAUUAUGAUACUGCUGUAAGGGGGUGGUUGCUCCAGCUCUUGGAGGUGGCUCUGUGGUUGUGAAUCCAUCACCUCUACAGCCUGUUCAUAGGUUGGCACCUCAAAAGCUCCAUUGUCUCUGUGGGAGAAGAAAUAUGGUCGUUAGUGGGUACCUGAAAGAAGACCCCCUUUUUCUGUUCCACCAUUCUUGCAAAAGACCUCUCUAUUGUCUGCUGACCAUUGCUCUUAAUGAUACCAGUGACAGAGGAAAGCAGAGUCUAUGCUUAAGAAAGGAUGGGCACAGAGGGAACGAGGGCCUUGCGUGUCUUCCCGUCAUCCUGCCCAUCUCCCAUCGACUCACUGCGCUUGGCCUGAGGCCUCUGGAUUCUCAGUCUGCCUGGAGCUUGGCAUCGAUCGGGAGCAUCGUUCCAUAACACAGGCCAGGAGGCAAGCAACAAAGCAAAAGCCAGCCAAGCAGAGGAAGAAGUAAGCAACAGGGGCGACAUCAGACUGUAUGACCAGUAAAGCCAGCCCCAGGAGGAGGGAGGCACUGCUCAGGAAGAGAAAUGGCUGCUUCAGUUUCCCCAACAACUGUCUUGGCACCAUGGCCCCUCCCAGGGCACCUGCAGAAAGACACACAGUUGUGUGUUAGCUAGUGAUCAGCACUGCAGUAGUGCCAGACCCCAAAGUAAAAGUAUUAUGCUCUUCUAUUUGGAUUCCCAGUGUUCAAUUCAGUCUGAAACAAAUGAUCUUCAGGGCCUCUGGCAGCUCCAUUAUUGUCUCCUAUUAUUAUAGGUUAUUGCUUUGGAAAGCUGGGAAAUUAGUUCAGUUCUGAUUCUCAACUCGCAGAUGAACAGAUGAACGUAGUGUUUCAUAGCGCUGCCUGCAUUCUUUGCUCUCUCUCUCUCUUCCCUGAAGUCUCUGUUUUAGCUCCCAACUACACCAUGCUGGAUCCAGGGCCAGCCACCUUACCUG